rnacentral:siRNA from 1 species
UCUGGGCACCAAUCAUACAC